rnacentral:rRNA from 1 species
AGAUUAAGUUAUUAAGGGCGCACGGUGGAUGCCUUGGCACUAGAAGCCGAUGAAGGACGUUACUAACGACGAUAUGCUUUGGGGAGCUGUAAGUAAGCUGUGAUCCAGAGAUUUCCGAAUGGGGGAACCCAGCACGAGUUAUGUCGUGUUAUCCGCAUGUGAAUACAUAGCAUGUGAGAAGGUAGACCCGGAGAACUGAAACAUCUUAGUACCCGGAGGAAGAGAAAGAAAAAUCGAU